UAAGAGACAGCAGCAGCCGCGGUAAAACGGAGGGGGCAAGCGUUAUCCGGAUUUAUUGGGCGUAAAGCGAGCGCAGGCGGUUAGAUAAGUCUGAAGUUAAAGGCUGUGGCUUAACCAUAGUACGCUUUGGAAACUGUUUAACUUGAGUGCAAGAGGGGAGAGUGGAAUUCCAUGUGUAGCGGUGAAAUGCGUAGAUAUAUGGAGGAACACCGGUGGCGAAAGCGGCUCUCUGGCUUGUAACUGACGCUGAGGCUCGAAAGCGUGGGGAGCAAACAGGAUUAGAUACCCCAGUAGUCCCUGUCUCUUAUACA
rnacentral:rRNA from 1 species